AAAAAUUGGUCAUCAGUAGAACAGGUAAAGUACACCUUUCAUCGUCUGAGCUGUAAGAAGUAUUUAACUGCAAGCUGUAAAAGCUCGUCAGCAAAACCUUCUUUUAACAACUUGUUUUAACAAAGUCCAUAAUUUUAAAAUGGUGUCCAAGGCAGUUUUCGUCCUGUUAGCCAGCAUGAUUGUUAUCAAUGCAGUGUUCUCGGUUGAAAAAAUUGAUGCUGAAGAAUGUGCCGACUAUUUAGAAGACAAUAUGUGUGAUUUGUAUUCAGCACUUUGUGAAGAUGACAAAGGGGAGUUUGCAAGAUCAUAUUGCCGACAAACGUGUGGAAAAUGUAAUCCAUCCACAUAAAUUAUGUGUGAUGUUUCAGCGAGAAUGUACACUCCUUAUCUUAAGUGGUAAUGAUGCUUGUAAUUAGUCUUCAAUUGAAAUACAUUAUAAACGAGGGCUUAUCAAGGAUAUUCAUCUCAUCGAAAACACCGUGGUGGCAUGCUAAUAUCGAGUAGUAAAUUUCAUGUACCUGAUGGUGGCUUCUUUGAUCGACAAUACCAGACCGAUGUUCAUAUAUACAAAUUUUGAAUACGUGUUUUAACUAUAAGAUAGUAUGAAACAACUACAAAAAGAAAGUAAUACAAGUCAUUGUGAUUCAAUACUCGAACUGUAUUUGUUCAUCUUCCGGAAUUAAUUUUUGCUUUUAUGUGAACCUUACUGGUGAACCCCAUGGUGUUAUGACUAUAUUUAUCAUUUCUUAGUAUAUCUUAAACAAACCAGUAUCAGUUAGAAAAAAAAGUGUUACAUAAGAAUAACUCGUUCACCUGUCAGCUGCAGUUUUUCCACAAUUACUACUAUUUCAAAUGUAUAGUAUAGCCUACUACAUAAGAUAUCACGACGUCGUGCUUUAUCCGAACGCCCUUUCUAUGGGAAACGGAAGGCGCUGCAUACGUUAUACUAGCAAUAUUUACCUUUUUUUAUUAAACACCUACUGUAUCGUAAUUAAACUAUAAUUUAAUUGGAGUUAUCACUAUCUUUCAUGUCAAAACCCAGAGUAUGCUCAAUAAAUGUUAAUUGAAGUUGAAAUGAA